GCUUGGGUUUGUUGCGGCUCAGAGCAGGAUCAGGAGCCGCUCCAGCACCGCGGGACCGCGGCGCGGUGCGGGGGGAAGGGGACGGGGCGGGGCCGCGUUUCGGGCCCGCGGCUGCCGUGAGGGAGGGCCCGUGAGGGCGGCAGGAAGCGGCGGCGGGCGGCCCCGGCCCUUCCGGGGCGCGGGCGGCGGAGGAGCGGCGGGGCGGCGGCGGAGGAGCCGCGGGGCGGCGCGGGUGCGGCGGGGCGGCGGCGGAGGAGCGGCGGGGCGGCGGCGGAGGAGCGGCGGCGCGGAUAUGGAUAACAGGAAGGAUGAAAAAAGUAGGACGCUGUGUGCAACCUCAGAAGAAGGGCUGAAGGCCCGAGAUUCUCCUAAGUCUAAGUCAAAGAAAAAGAAAAAGGAAAAACACAACAAAAAGAAGAGGAAAAAGGAGAACAAAAUGAAGAAAAAGAAGGAAAAGAAGAAAAGGAAAGAGAAAACAGGACCUGUCCAGCUUUCCAAGGUAUGCUGGUCCAAAUGUGAAGCCCUGUUUUAUUUCUCACCUACAUACUUAAUCCAUCCUGUCAUAAAACUG
rnacentral:lncRNA from 1 species